AUGAGGAGAAUCACAAAUCAGGAAGCACUCAAGAUCAUCUCAUCAGUUUUUGUAUUUUCACCUCAACGAGGGGCAUGUCCAGCCCAACCUUACUCACACCUCCUAUUUCCAAGAGCUAGGUUCUGCACCUGCUUCCGGCCUACUUGAGAUCUUCCAGAAAGAAGUCUGCAGCAUUUCCACCGCUCAGCCAUGUUCCUGUUGCUCAUCCCAGUACUGGGGCUGCCUUUUUCUCUGAGGGAUGCCAGAGCCCAGUCAGUGACUCAGCCUGAUAAACAUGUUACCGUCUCUGAAGAAGGCUUGCUGGAGCUAAAGUGCAACUAUUCCUUUGCUGGAGCUCCUUAUCUCUUCUGGUAUGUCCAGUACCCCAGCCAAGGCCUCCAGCUGCUCCUGAAGUAUUUAUCAGGUCCCCCCCUGGUUGAAGGCAUCAAAGGUUUCAAGGCUGAAUUUAAGAAGGAUGAAACCUCCUUCUACCUGAGGAAAACGUCAGCCCUUUGGAGUGACUCGGCCAAGUACUUCUGUGUUUUGGGUGACACAGUGCCCGAGUCUGCAGGGGGAGCUGAACACAAACUCUGA